rnacentral:rRNA from 1 species
GACGAACGCUGGCGGCGUGCCUAACACAUGCAAGUCGAGCGAUGAAGUUUCCUUCGGGAAAUGGAUUAGCGGCGGACGGGUGAGUAACACGUGGGUAACCUGCCUCAUAGAGGGGAAUAGCCUCCCGAAAGAGAGAUUAAUACCGCAUAAUAUUACAGUUUCGCAUGAAACAGUAAUUAAAGGAGCAAUCCGCUACGAGAUGGACCCGCGGCGCAUUAGCUCGUUGGUGAGGUAACGGCUCACCAAGGCGACGAUGCGUAGCCGACCUGAGAGGGUGAUCGGCCACAAUGGGACUGAGACACGGCCCAGACUGCUACGGGAGGCAGCAGUGGGGAAUAUUGCACAAUGGGGGAAACCCUGAUGCAGCAACGCCGCGUGAGUGAUGACGGUCUUCGGAUUGUAAAGCUCUGUCUUUGGGGACGAUAAUGACGGUACCCAAGGAGGAAGCCACGGCUAACUACGUGCCAGCCGCCGCAGUAACAC